rnacentral:sRNA from 15 species
AAGGUUGGCAUCACGCUUGUUAAAAUCUAAUAUCAAUUUAUUAAUUUAAAUUUGAAAAGAACAUCAAACGGCUAAAUAUUUUCUUAUCUUAUUUAGAUAAGACCGACCCCGAUCAUAUAAAUAAUUUAGAAACAAUAGUUUGUGAAUGUUAGUUUUAAAAUAUUAAAAAAGUCAGUUUAAGCGGGUGAAAAAAACGCGCGUUGGAAAUGUUUCAAUAACUUCAAAACAUUCAAAAAAUUGUAUUUAUGUGACGUGCUGGUUUAGUUAUUGUGAAAAAUCAAUACAUCAUUGUUCUUUUCUGUAUCUCACGCGCACAGGAUACUACAAUUGGCAGGGGAGGUCUGCAUCACCUAACACAAAGCGUCUGUUUUUUACCGUUCUACAAACUAAACGCAGGCAAUUUUGCAUUAUUAACUGAAGGCAAAAGCUAUAACUCCUUCCAAACAGUGUUCACCCACGACUACAACUGUAAACAUUGGACGUAUCCUCAAACUUUAUACGGUCUCUUAUUUUACCUGUAUUGUGCUUGGAAUUACUUGUGAUUUAUAUACAUAUGUAUGAAAAUAUCCCGGAACAUUUAUAUGUAUAUUUUUUUGCACGUUGAAGUAUUCAUAUGUACCUAUGCUCACACUUGUGCACAUAUGUAAUGUUGAAGUUGCUCAUUCAAAACAAAUUUAAUGCAAAAAAAAUCAAAAUGCUCGCUCCCAAGACAAC